ACAGAGGGUGCGAGCGUUGUUCGGAAUUACUGGGCGUAAAGCGCGCGCAGGCGGCUCUUUAAGUCUGACGGUGAAAUGCCGGGGCUCAACCCCGUGCCCGCCGCGGAUACUGGAGGGCUGGAGACACGUAGAGGCAAGCGGAAUUCCGGGUGUAGCGGUGGAAUGCGUAGAGAUCCGGAAGAACACCGGAGGCGAAGGCGGCUUGCUGGGCGUGAUCUGACGCUGAGGCGCGAAAGCGUGGGGAGCGAACAGGA
rnacentral:rRNA from 1 species